GAUUUUAGUUUAAUUGUUUUGAAAGCAAUUAUUAAGGUUUUCCUUUAAAGUCU
rnacentral:tRNA from 1 species